GCUGUCAAGUAAAGCGGAGGCGGGAGACAGGAUAGACUCGAGGGGUGCUUUCCUGUGCUUGAACCCGCCACUGCCUACACACGGGCACGGGAGUGGCUCUUUCCCAGGCCUGCGGUUGGCAAAGGCGUGCAAACCCCGCUUGGAUUCCUUCAAUAAGAAUGAAUCGGUUCUGAAGGCAAAGUUAUUUCCCAGGAUCUCAGAGAUGUUUAUCAAGCUUUAGAAGAAAGACAAAAGCCAGAAAAUCAUAACCGAUAACUCAGUUCAGGGGUUGAAGGAGUCUUUUGAGGUAGAGCACUUUAGCCUCGUGUCAGAAGAGCUAGCCUGAAGAGUGUCAAGAAAGGGUCUUCUUUUUCCUACCACCACCACUCUCGCAAGACUGGCAACCAUGGGGGAAAAGUCCCACACUUGCCCUUACUGUGGGAAAGGUUUCCGGCGAAACUCACACCUUACUAGGCAUUUAGCUACCCACUCUGGUCUGCAGCGCCCUUUAGGUGGGAAGCGCCUGGGACAGCAAGUGCCAGAGGAAGACCGUCCCUUUAGCUGCAGCUACUGUGGGAAGACUUUUGCCCGCAGUGCCCACCUGGCCCGCCAUCAGGAGACCCAUUCUGGGGAGCGACCCUACAAGUGCACCUACUGUGGCAAAGCCUUUGGGCGCAAUUCUCACCUGACCCGCCACCACAGCACUCACACUGGAGAGCGUCCCUAUGAAUGUGGUGUUUGCGGCAAAGCUUUCACCCGCAGUGCUCAUGUUACUCGCCACCAAGGAACUCACACCGGAGAACGUCCUUUCCGCUGCACACGUUGUGGCAAGUGUUUCACCCGCAGUGCCCAUCUCCAGCGCCAUCAGGGCAUCCAUAGUGGGGACAAGCCCUUCUCUUGCAGAGACUGUGGAAAGGGGUUCACCCGUUAUGCACACCUUGAGCGUCACCGUGCUACGCAUUCAGGAGAGAAACCCUUCAAAUGCGCCAGCUGUGGCAAAGGGUUUGGGGCUGCCUCUCAUCUUGUAAGACAUCAGAAAACUCAUAAAGUUUAAUGGCUGGUUUUGCACCUGCUAUCAUCCAAACAAGUAUGAAAAUUGGCCAGUAUGAAGUACUUGGACUUAUCCUUUGACUUUAUAUCUGUUUUGUCCAUUCUAAAAUCUAUUUUUAGAGGGAACUGAGUUCAACCCAUUCAACAAUAUUUACACUUGAUCUGCAGACAAAUUGAGGCACUUUGAGCUUUUGCCACUUCAGUUUAGCAGCACCCAUAGCAAAAACAAUUUUAGAUAGUAAAAUAGCAAACUAUUCUAAUUUUUUUCAUUUGGGAAAAAGAAAUCUCAGACCUUUUCUGGUAAGAAAGAUUCCAGGCUUAUGCAUUUAUCAUACCUCCCUAGAAGGUAUUUCAAAAUCCCCUUCCUUGUCCUACAGCAUCAUCUACAUUGUGCAGUUAUACUAUAAAUGUGACAAUCUGAAUCAACAGAAGCAUCUUUUUGGCAAUUCCCUUGGAAAAAUUCUUUUAUCAGCUUUGGAUUUUGAACCUGUGGCCUGAUCAUAUUGUUAGAACUAUGUGCCAUGCUCACCUAAGAGACUAGCAUUGGAAUAAGGAGUUGUUGUGCCUGCAUCUUAAGCUCCUCAGUAGCCUUAGCAGCAGAAAAAAAUCUUACUGCAUCUGAGGCCAAUUCUUAAGAUUUGUCUGUCUCUUCCAUGCCUCUCAAAACUUUGAGGCUUGAUUUGCAAUCGUCUAAUUACAAGUGGUGCCUGCAACACCAUAUUGCAGCAUAAUUUAUUCCUAGACCAUGUAGCCAUAUCAUCGUUCAGAGAUAACUCAAGUUAUUUUUCCCUUCCUUUGAACUGUUUCCUUUAAUAGUAUGUUGGAGCACCUAUGCAUGUUCUGACAUUGAUUUUCUUUUUAAUUUUCUUUUUUUGAAGGGAGGAAGUUACUGCUUUUGGAUUGUAUUCCUAAUUAUUUUUCUCUGUUUUUGCAAAUUUUGGUAUUGUCACAUGCUGAUAAUUUUCCACUUAUUUCUCUUAGCCCCAUUUGGGUUGCAUAGCCAUCAUAAAAUGUGCAUGUAUUUACCAGCAAUAUUGAUAGUUAUUCAUGUCCAGUACUAGAAAUUUUUUUAUGGGAGAAGUAAGGAAUAGACCAAGACUUUUUAUCAAGUGACUUGCAAUGUGAAACUGCAAAUAUUUCAAGUCUUUUCCAUUGGAGUAUAUGAGUUCUUACCUCUUAUUUGUCUUACGUCUCCCAAUCCUCCAGCUUUAGUGAAUCUGAAUUAUUUUUUCUUUUUUAUAAAUAAUAAUAGCUAACACAGUUACACUGAUAAAUUUUCUUACCUAACAACAGUGUUCUAGUGUAGGUAAAUUAGACUCAAAUUCAACAAAUCACAUUGUUGAAAAACCUGCUUUGAUUUUUUGUUUAUUUAAACUUUCACAUUUUUUUUUAAUGGAGAAGGAAGAUUUUAAAUAAUUGCUGUCUCAACAGAAGGAGAACCGUAGAAGAAAUAUGGAGGCAGCUGGAACCUUUAGCAGAAAUUUAAAUGAAUGUCCUGCUGUUCUGAAGUGCUUCAGAAGACUAGAAGAGGCAGCAGGUAGUUUUUUAGCUGGAAUUUCAGAUAAACUAUGGCUACCCAAACUUUCUGCUUUGAUCCUUGGGGAAAAUUGCUAAGUUAUCACAGCAAUUUAUUGUCGCUGUUGUGAUUCUUAUCUGCCUCCUGAUCUGUGAUUCUUUGAGGAUGUGGGAUUCCAGAAUGUUUAAAAGCUCUAAUCAUGCAAGAACCUGAUGAUGUUCUUACAUCAAGGAUGGCUACAGAGUGCUCACGCUCCCAAUGAUUGAGUUAUAUAUGACAUUUGGACAUGGAAACAGCUAUAGGCAACUAGGCUCUGUUGUAUGGUCUGGUAAUAACUUGGGCUGUGUGGAACCAGAGAAGCUCAGCAGAAAGACUGCAGUUGUGCAGCAAAACUGUCAAAAAGAAUUUUCAAAAAGAAGUGGACAAAUAAUAGAUGGGAAUAAUUGGAAAUAAGAACUAAUCAUAACUUGCAAAAUAUAAAUGAUUUUACUUGAUUGCCAAAUAAGCAGGGCUUUUAGCCUAAGUGAAUUGUAUCUGAACGAGCCUUAUACAAGUUAUGGUCAGCUACUCUGAAUUCAGUCUGUUUAGCAGAUGGAGGAACCAUUUCCUGUAUAUUCCAGCAUUUCUUUGAUGAUUAUCUUGAUCCAGCAUUAAAAAAAACAGUUUUUGGAAAGAAUAUCAAGAAUUAACUUUGCUAUUCCUCUAUGCUCUUGCAAAUCUCUUAUUUUCAUCUAUAUACACUGCCUGUGAUACACCAGCUCUUUAUACCAGAAUAUGAAGAGCAAGUGGCAGCACAUUUUCUUUGGCUUUCUAUGAUUUGAAAGCUGCAUUAAGGUGGACAUUUGUUUUUCUUUCUCUCAAGUUGAUAGAACGCUGUAGAAAUGCUGAAUCCAACAAACACUACUUUAUUUGCAUAGUAUUCUGUGUUGUAAAGAUGUGUGAUCCUUGGCUGCUUUUUAGCAUUCCAGGAGGCAGCGGUUGCUGAACUGUUCUUGAGAUAUUCUCCUUUACCCUAACCUAAAACAUGGAAAGACUUUCUCUUGCAUUUUCAAGAGGCAACUGGACUUUCGGGGGGGGGGGUUCCGCUUCUCAUCCAAGAAGCUUCUUCAGCUUUGAGCGGAAUAGUUUUUUCUGCUAAAGUUGAAGUUGGUCAGUUUGAAGAAUAUAAGUCAAGAAUUUCCAGUCUUGCUUUAGUAAAUGACCAUAUGUUUUUCUAAUUAGGAUUCAAAUUAUUAUUUUUUUGAUAGCGCCUAUUAAGCUACUGUAAUAUGCCUGGAUUCACAUAUUGCAGUAAGUCAUUAUAGCUCUUUUGUUUAUUUGGGGGAUAAACAUGUUGGAUGAAGCCAACCAAUGUGAUUUGUAAAUUAUGAUUUAUAGCGUAAUAUGUGCAAAUCUUGUCACAGGUAUAGUUCAGUAAAGCGUCAUUGAACAAACCAUGGCUUAAUGGAGUCUGUGGGGCCAGCCAUUGCCUUCUACUGAAUAUUGAGCUUCUGAAUGGAGUAUACAGUUACUUACAUAUAAUUCAAUCUGAUCAUGGAGAACUUUUUAUCCUCUCCAUUUUGUUUCUUCUAGAUUAUUUGGAUUAGAAAAAUCCAAACCCCUAUUGAUCAAGAUGUAAUUGUUUCCAGUUUAUGUUUUAGAACGUUAGCAUCAAUAGGGCAAGUUUGUCAUAGCUGUCUCAAAUCCCAUGGCUUUGGAUGGUACUAAAAUCCCCUUCCUAAUCAAAUAUUCCUCAGACAUGUUGGCUUAUACACAUGUAAUGUUCCAGCUUGCAAAGAUUAUACAGGCCAGAAGAGCAGGCCUGGAGGUAUCUACUGAGAAUAGCUGAACUGGAAUACAUUUUAACAGGUAGAUUACUAUCAUUAUUCCAGUAAAUCCUUUUCCUGAUAUAGCUUAGCCAUCCCCCACAUUAUGGAUGCAGAUUUAUGCUAAAAAACAGUUAAUACUUUAGUCAGCAUAUUGAUGGCACAGAAAAGAAAUACAAGUAGUCUUCACUUAACAACCACAGUCAGGACUAGCUAGCAAUUUCAUUGCUAAAUGAUGCAGUCAAGUGAGAUAUUAUAGCACUACAACUUGUGAUUUUACUGCCAGCUUCUCCAUUAACUGUUUAUCAGAAGCUCCCUGUGAAGUAUGCAAGUGGUGAUCACAUGACAGCAGGUUGCAACGGUUGUAAAUGCCAACCAGUUGUAAAGCACCUGGAACUCAAUCAUAUGACCAUGGGGACAUUCCAAUAGCCAUAACUGCAAGGACUGCUCAUAAAGUUACUUUUUCACACCAUAAUAUACUAAUUAGAGCAAUCCUUAAAUGAGAUCUGUCUGUACUGUCAUGCUGUUUCUGAGCUUAAAUCAAAAUGCACCUAUAAAAAAGAAAACCAGAGCCAUGCUCAUCUCUUUGAAGGCAGAAACAAAACCAAAUUUGAGAGUGAAAGAGCACCAUGGGAUAAAUGACUUUCUAAAAAGAAGGAGCCCGUUCAUUCCCUAGUCUGUCCUAAAAGAUAUACUACUGUCUCGAAAAAAAAUCUGAUGUAUCUUUCUUAUACAAUCAAGUUGUAUAAUAUUAAAAGGAGAAAGAAAUAGGAGUGUUUGGACUUGGCUGGUAUUGUGGAAAUGUUUGUAAGAAAGAAGGAAGACUAUUGAUCUGGUGUUUUAUUAAUUUUUCAUGCAUAUACUGUGUGUUUCUUGUUCAUAGUAGUAUAAAUGCCAUAUUUUAGAGAAACAGAAAAUAUUAUUUCAAAUAAUAAGAAUACAAUCUAGAGAAAACAAUCAGCCAAGGACCAACUGAUGUCAAUGGAAAUUAAAAAUACAGAUGAGGGGGCUACAGGGGAGAUAUAACAGAAAGAAUGGGCUGAGCUGGUCACUGGGUGAUCCCCCCCCCAAGAUAAAAAUAGAAAAUGAUUGAGGAAUGUGAGUAGCAAAAGAAACUUAUAAAAUAUUUUCUCUUGAAAUGAGUGAAAUAGAGGAUUUAUUCAGAGUGUAGUAUGAAUAUUUUUAUGUAAAAGAAUGCACAAAAUUGGAAUAUGAUUAUUCCUAUGUAUAUAAUAGACCAGGAUAAGCAACUUUCAGAUAUUAUUGCCAGAUUAGUUGAAGUUAACAGGAAUUGAUAGCUAAAAUGUCUGGAGAGCUGUUAUCUAAAUGCAUUUCUAUACUUUGAGUGCUGCCAUCUGUUUGGUAGAAUUCAAACCUCUUUAGUUAGAAAUUGUGAGUUGUUUGCUGAUAUGCAGUGGUUUUGGUUUGGAAAUAAUCAGAAACAAAUAAUCUGCAACUGUUGAUUCUUUUGCAUGUGAGUUAGAUAUUUUGUACAAAAAUAAGAAAAGGUUUCAAGACUGUUUUCAUAUGAUCUCUUACUUGAGAUAUAGUAAGUUCAUGGAAUUAGGAGUCUUGACUUUGAAUACAUUUGCUUAAAAUUUCUUAGUAACUUUCUUAAGCCAAAUACUACAAUUCCAUAUGUUCAAUUAUAAAUGAUGUUCUUUAUGUGUUUUUUUUUAAAGAACAUCUUAUAUUGCAUGGAUUUCAGAUAUUCCCAACAUUUCCAAUUUUUAUCUGGAAAGAAACAACUUUGUUUUCCUUCAAUUCUUCCAAACUUUUGGCAAUAUUACAAAACAUUGGUAUAUAUAUCAUUCUAACCAAUAUUUAUAUUUACAUAGCAUAUAAAGAUUAGGUAUUUGUUUAUAAUAAAUUUUCUGGAUAAGUAUGCUAAGUUAUGAAAUAGCCCAUUAGACUGGAUUCAUACAAUAUAUUGUUUUUUAAAAAAACAAAAUCAAACCAAUGAUCUGGUACAGCAGAUUAGAUUAGGUCUCAGGUUUAUCUAACCAGUGACUUUGAUCAUAUCAAACAAAUAAGAAAAAUUGCAAAUCAAAAGUGACAUUCUAAAAAGGCUCUAUAUAGAUUUUUUUCAUACUGACAGUGUUAUAAGACUGUAAUUUUAGGAUUACAUGCCUUUUUUUCUUCUAUAAUUUUAAACAAGUGAGCUGAGUUUAUACUGCCUUCCAGCAAGAUCUAAAAAAAAGCAAAGAUUAAUUCUCAACAGCUGGCCACCAGUAUUGCAGUUAAUGUAUGCACACCAGUCAGGGCUGUUCUUCAGUUCAAAUUUUAUUUGGAUUUGCAAAGAGAACAUAGAGCAGGUUUUCCCUUGCAAAUAUCUGCUCUCAAAUUAAUAAUGGAGAUGGAUCCUUCCCACUCUCCUAAUUAUUCUAAUUCUGUGCAGCAGCUCCAACUAGUGAUAGUGAUAAUGAUUCCCAACUAGAAUAGCCAACUAUACAUUGCCAGUAAAAAAAUGCAUCAUCAAAAGAAAAGACAUGGACAUGGAUGGUUAAAAUUCAAUACUGUAGGAAUGCAGUGGAUUUUCAGGGUGAUGGAAAAAGCUGAUAUGGUUCAUCCAUUGCACUAAAUCAUAUAUAAUUGCUUUUCAGAGUGAGAUGGACAAUGUGUAAAUUUGCUAAAUUAAAAAAAAAAUGAAGCUUUUCACCCAACAGUUCCUCAAUCUUGAAAGUUGGCAGUAGGGAUUCAAGGAGAUUGAUGUUUGAUAAAACAUUUUUAUUACAGAUACUAAAAAGGCAAUAAUAUAGCAGAUAAUCAGUAACUGCAGCAUUGUAGCAUUCCCAAAGUUCAAACCCUACAUCCCUGAGAGCAGGUUUGUCUCAGUGGAAGGGGUGGAAUGCAUUUGUUCAUUGAUGUUCUUCCACUGAUGUUAUGGUCCUUCUGAUCUUGGGAUUUUGACCUCUGAUCUUGAUUAUUCUGGCCCUCACAAUUUGCUUAGUUUCAGUUUAGUAUAUUCAGCCAAAUUUAGUUUGCAGAUCCUGGUUUGUAACUUGAUAUACAAAGUUCUAAUUGUGAUUUAUUCAAUAAAAUGUAGCUAAACAUAUAAUGGCUGAGCACAGUGUGUGAAUGCAGUCAAUGACUAAGUGACUUUUAUGCCUACUCAGAAUAUUGCCUUGGGAAAGUUUAUCAAUAACCUUCAUGCUUAUAUUGCUGUUCCUUUCUGGAUGGUUGUGAUUAACCUGGACUUCUGAAUAGAGAUGAGGAGGGAAUCUUGUUUCCCAGUGUUUCUGAACUUAAAUUUCCAAUAUUGUUCAACUCAGUAUGAUUUAAGGUGCUGUCGGGAUUUUUUUUUUUUUAAGCAUAGUUGUAUUCUGUAACUCAAGCUUCCCCUAUAGCUACAUUUUAAUUAGAAGAUUGUCAAUUCUAAAAUAACUCUUCUACACUUCAAAUUUGGGAUAGUUUUUUUUUAAACUAUGAAGUUUUAUUACAUUUUAAUAUUAGUGUACUAGUCUCUUUAAAAUAAAUAUGUAAUCCAUGCUUCCUGUGCUCUUUUUAGGAAAGAACAAGAUAGGAUACAAAAGAUCCUCUGGAAAACAUCUAUUGAUGUCUUUAUUUGUGGGACCUUCAAUUAACUGGCCAUACCUAUCUGCUUUUUCUUAGACUUUUCCACUGAAAUAUUGUCACUUCCAUGUGAACAUUCUGUAUGUUCUUGAGAACUUUAGUUAUACCAUAACUCAGAUAUUUAGAGUCCAAGUAGUUCAAGAUGCAGACCUUGACGUAUAAAAGUGGUCUCUGGUAAUAGGUGAUAGGCAGGAAUCCUUGCUUAAAUUACUGAAAACCCAAUGUAAUUGUGAACUUCCAAGUUAUUGAAGAACCAAUGAAUGAUUACACUGAUUAACAAAUUGCAUUUUAUUAAUGUUUUCCAACAUACCUGGCUGGAUUUAUAUAGCAGCAAGCCAGAAUUUGAUUUUAUCUCUCGCUUUUUUUUAAUCUAAUAAACUGUGCUUUGCAACUUGUAGUUUAUUGCUGAGUAUUGUAUGUGUACCCAGCCAUUUUUGCUUAUUCAGCUUACCAUGAUUAAAAUAAACCAUAGGCUUGCAUGGCUCUACUUUCCACUCCAAUAUAUAUUAGUACACUUCGUUGUUGUGCAGCUUUAAAGCAUUGUAUAUAAUAUCCUUUAGCAUUUUCGAACCUAAUAUCUUCUUGGUAUAUUGGAGAAUAAUUCUCACUAUUUCCCAACCAAAAUAGUUAUGUAGUUUUGUCUGAAGAGGGUUAAAACAGUUAACAGUCUAAAUGUUUCUGAACUUUGCAACUCUAAGAUGUAUGGCCUUCAACUCCCAGAAUUCCCCUGCCAGCUGAAGUACAGGAUACACAUUUUAGAGUUGCCAAGGCUGAGCAACACUGGUCUACGACAUUUAGAAAGCCAACGAAAUUAGGCUGUGGUCUCCUCAAAUAAGAUGAAAUAGUUGCUAAAAGCAUUAUAUGUCUAGCCUAGACCAUGUAACUGCUUACUUGCUAGUUACUGGGCAUCUUUGCUGUAGUGAAAAGAAUUUUAUCUUAUGGGAAAAUAUAGGCACCUGCACUGCAGGAGAAGUGGUCACAAGGCUAACACUAGAGACACAACUGAUCUCUUCUUCCUCUCUGUGGCUUGUAAAAAUCUGCAAAGAAGUAUUUAAGGUCCACUCUAUAGAUGAAAUGGAGAAGGAUCAUACAGUGGAUUACGUCAAUUCAAGCUGUGGGUAGCACAGUCCAGUUGUGAACAUUGUAUAUUAAAAAUAAUCAUGCAUAUAUACAAACCUUUAUGCAUUUUAAAAGCACAGUAGGAAAGAAUGCUUAUCCAUCCCUGCUAGAUGUUUUGUUUUUCUGUUUGUGUAUGUGUGCUUUUGAAACAGCUAACACCAUCUGCAUUUUCUGUCCAUUCUGUCUUCUUCCUGACCCCAUUAUUGCUAUAUUCUGCUUUAGUGUAAACCAGAUUUCAUUCUGCAAGCAUUGGUUUUGGACCUGUUGUCUUUAGUUCUUAUUUAUCUAUUCUUUCAUCUUACUGAUUCCUUUCCCAUGGAAAGGAAUCAUGAUAAAUCAUGAUAGUAAGGAACAUAUGACAGGAAAAACUGAAGUCAUAAGGCAAAGAUCAUUCUGGCACAUUGUAGGUUUGGGGCAGCUUUUUGGACUAAGAAGAAAAGUUUUGUUCAUAAAGUAUGGUCUGAAUGCACCCAGCUAUGGUACGUUUUGAGUAAUCCAUUGUUAAUAAACCACUUCAUUUUUCUCCUGAUUGUUCCCAUCCUAAACAUUUUUUCUCAAAUAUGAUUAAGUUUCGAUAGCAUUGGUUUUCAAGCAAGCCUGAUUUAAGUGGCUGUCUUUCAGAUACAAGUUUAUGAUUUCGUUAUAACUUUUGGUACUAUCUGCAAAUGAAGUUGUGUUGUUGUUUUUCUGACUAAGGAAUAGUAAUGGAAAAUGUGUUUCAUUUGCCAUAAGGUUGUAGCAAUGGGGAAAGGUCACUUGUUGAGGGACACAUCUUUCCUCUUCUCAAUUUGGAACCAACCUGGGAGUAGCUUCACUAGGCCAGACUUUCCCAAGCUAGUACCAGUUCAGUUAAAACAAGAACACUAAGCCUGAUGAUUCUGCCUGGCUUUCUUUCAUAUUAUAAAUUCAUUUUUGGCUUGCUGUGGCUUGGGUGCAGUCUAGAGGGCAAGAGUAAAUUUGUUUUGCUUGUAUAUUGCUUUAAGGCAAGAUUAGACUGGAUUUAUUUGGCAAACUGUUUGGAUUGUUCGUAUUUUACCUUGAUUUGUAAUAAUGCCAAGGUAUACAAUUUAACAACAAUUAUAAAUGGCAUUGCAAUAUAGCAAAACUGAUAUCUGGGUUUCCCAACACCUUAGUUUUCCUGAUAUUGUCCUUGGUAUCUUUCUCUGUUUUCCUAUUAUAUGAAUAAUAUCUGUCUUUUUUCUGUAUGAAAUAAAUUCUUUUUAAAGAGGU